CUAAAAACUUCAUGAGGUCUAGAGGGUCCACAGUGGGUGUUGAAGCAAUGUGAUUUCUGUGCAGUCCUCUGAAUGUCAACAUGAAAAAAUUCAAUGAGGCUCAGGUAAGUGGCAGUAACAACUAUAGGUCUCUUAAGGAACCCUAAAGCUUGGUCAUUUAAUUAGUGACAUGCAUGAAUGGAUGACCAAG
rfam:Nomascus leucogenys chromosome 14, whole genome shotgun sequence.